GAGGGUAUAGCUCAAUGGUAGUGUGUGCUUAGCAUGCACAAGGUCCUGGGUUCAAUCCCCAGUGCCUCCA
rnacentral:tRNA from 1 species